GCUUCCGAUAGAACAUGACCAGAGAUGACCGUACUGAUGUCCUUUGAAUAAGACGCUAGUGUGGUAGACCUACGUACUGGUGGUAGGGCUAGGCCUAGGCUAGGGCCGCCCGCUUUUGUUUCAUUUUUACUAAGGUGCCGCCGGGUGUGUACAUGUGUGUGACUGUGGACCGUCCUGGCCCUGCAAAUCAGGCUUUGGCCUAGCUAGUCCUGCCAGGCAUCAGCGCUGUAGACUCUAUACGACUACGCGUCGCCCGCCAUUGUUUCUUAUUCUGAAUGAAUGCUGGAUUGUAGAUGCCGGACGCGAGACUCGCGAGUCUUUAUUCUGGCCGAGCUGGAGCUAACGACACGUAACCGUUGCUUCUGUCAAGUGUGACGCCUUGUUGUUUUUGAAGACGCUGUAAAUGCCAACAGUUCAUGUCGACAGCAUUCACUAUCGCGCAGGAAAAUCGUCUGGAGGCGCUGGACUCUGGCGUGACCACCACUAAUAAUAGCAUGAUGAUCGAUGAUGGAGACAGGCCUUGGCUCUGCACGAGUCUGCAGCGACACGCGGCGGAUAAUGGCCGUCACCGAAGCAUUGGCCUGUCGUCGAGUCGACACAGUGAUCUAGGUGGCCGAGCGCAUGGCAUGCUGCUCGCUGCCGUGGCCCAUGGUGUUUCCUCCACCUUGCUGGCAUGUUGCUUGCAAGCACGUCGCGGCUGCCGUCCCGCGUCUUCAGCCCCACACAUUCCCAAGCUAGACAAGUCCUGGCGUGGUGCUGUACCUGUUGUGGCAGGGGUGCCUUCAAUGGCUGGGGUUCUUCCCGCAACUACUACUACUUACUAGUACUGAGUACUACUAGUAGUACUCUCUCCAAGUAAAGUGCUGAAAUAUUCGUAGCCUAGGUCAUGUGAACGACUGGCCUCAGUCCUGUCUACACGUAGAUCUUCUGGAGCAUUCCUCUUACAGUCUUGGAUCUAUUUGUGCCGGCGACGUCCAGACUGGUUGGUGAACUGCUGCUGCUGCUGCUGCUGGGACUACCAGUCUACUUGUUGGCUGAAAGUACCGGGUAUCAGAACAUGUCCUCCAUCACAGUUCAGCCUGGUGUCGGAAGUGGUGUCAUGGCACUUAGACCUGGCUUUCUUGUAUCCUGCAAUGAUAGUGGACAAACUGUCGUCAUACUUGGGCCUAAGGCCAGCAUUGAGCCCAAGGCCCAAGCUAGCCCAGGCAUCUGCUGAUGGGAAGUGGGGGCCAGUCAGGCGUCUGGGCAUGCAACACAAGAGCUCAGGAAAUGUUUGCGUGAAUAAUAGCCGUCACUGGUACACUGGUACACAGUCACUGGUACACUGGUACAUGUUCUCUACCUCAUCACACCACGCCACACGCCACGCGGCCGUGUUUUGAGGUUCGUGUCACCACGUAUUACACGGCUAUGGAACAGCGCCACAGGUCGAAAACUCGCCGUGUGCGGCUUGUUCAUGGGAAGCGUGUGUUGUGACAAGUCGUCCGUACGCAGUGUACGCAGUGUACGCAGUGUACGCAGUGUACGCAGUGUACGCAGUGUACUGUACCACAAAAAAAAAAAAAAAAAAAAAAAAAAACGCAGUGUACGCAGUGUACGCAGUGUACGCAGUGUACGCAGUGUACACUGUACUUGCUAAGUAGUGUAUACCUGAUUGUGCAAUAUGUAGUUCAUUACGGGGUAGUCACGGUGAUCUAGUUACCCGUACUACCCAAGUACUGGCAUCCAUAGCUGGCCAUGGAUGUAGUGCUUGCUGCCGUUGACUAUUAAAAUUAAUGUUCGUAUAGCUUUCGGCCAGGAUAUACAGACGCUGAGCCUAGUAAUAUGCUAGGCCGGUCUUGAUGAGCUUCUUGUGCAGCAGUAUCUGGUUUCUUACUGCAUGCCAUCAUCCUGACACUCAGGGCCUUUUCUGCUUCUUGUGCCAGUGUACCUUGUUGGCUUGCUCUCCCUUGUUGCCCCACUGGCUGCCUGCCUGCCUUGCCGCUUGCCUUGCCCUCCUUGGGCACGGUCCAUACCAGUCCCUCUUGAUGGUUGGCCUGACAGGGCUGCCAACUUACUUGGGGUAUCAAAAGUGGAGUUUGUCAAUUUCUCUUGAGAGUCAAGAUAAUGGCAACUGUUCUGUUCAACAAGACUGGGCCAGCACUCCCUUUCCAGGCUUUUGUUUAGCCAGGUAUAGCCUGGUGGUGCACUGAUGCGGUGGUGGGGUGUGCACUCUCACUGUGUGCACUGUAGUGUAUAGCUGUAUACACUGUUUCCAAGUACAUGCUGCCACUCUGCCAAUGACUAUGUGCAUGUGUGCCACUAUAGAUGUGGCCAUUACUUCAUAUCAUGUGCAUUGUGCUCUUCUUCAAGAGAUAAGUACCUUGUGCCGAAACUGAAUGGUAUAUUGACUGCCACAAUCUACUCAGU